UUACCCAAUCCCGACACGGGGAGGUAGUGACAAUAAAUACUGAUACAGGGCUCUUUUGGGUCUUGUAAUUGGAAUGAGUACAAUUUAAAUCCCUUAACGAGGAACAAUUGGAGGGCAAGUCUGGUGCCAGCAGCCGCGGUAAUUCCAGCUCCAAUAGCGUAUAUUAAAGUUGUUGUGGUUAAAAAGCUCGUAGUUGAACCUUGGGCCUGGCUGGCCGGUCCGCCUCACCGCGUGUACUGGUCCGGCCGGGCCUUUCCCUCUGUGGAACCCCAUGCCCUUCACUGGGUGUGGCGGGGAAACAGGACUUUUACUUUGAAAAAAUUAGAGUGCUCCAGGCAGGCCUAUGCUCGAAUACAUUAGCAUGGAAUAAUAGAAUAGGACGUGUGGUUCUAUUUUGUUGGUUUCUAGGACCGCCGUAAUGAUUAAUAGGGACAGUCGGGGGCAUCAGUAUUCAAUUGUCAGAGGUGAAAUUCUUGGAUUUAUUGAAGACUAACUACUGCGAAAGCAUUUGCCAAGGAUGUUUUCAUUAAUCAGGAACGAAAGUUAGGGGAUCGAAGACGAUCAGAUACCGUCGUAGUCUUAACCAUAAACUAUGCCGACUAGGGAUCGGACGAUGUUAUUUUUUGACUCGUUCGGCACCUUACGAGAAAUCAAAGUGCUUGGGC
rnacentral:rRNA from 1 species